rnacentral:lncRNA from 1 species
UUAGAAAAUUGGGGAAAGGGACUAGUGCAGCAGCAGCUGCAGUAGAGUAGAGAGGUGAAGUGACGGAAGAAGGAGAGGCUGCUUUCUCGUACCAUUGAUAUUUUUAGAAUUUUCCCAUCUACUAGUACUAAUGCCAGUGUUGUGUUGUUGUGUUGUUGUGUCCUUGCUGAAAUUCUGCCGAUUUCGAGAUUCGCUCUUUCUACCUGUUUCAUCUUUUUUACCCAAGGCAGAGCUUGCUUUGCUUUACAUCUUUCCCCUGCUCUCUCUCUCUCUCUCUCUCUCUCUCUCUCUCUCUCUCUCUCUCUCUCUCUCUCUCUCUCUCUCUCUCUCUCUCUCUCUCUCUCUCUCUCUCUCUCUCUCUCUAAUCUCAGUAUCACUUCCCCACUCCCACAGAUUUAGAGCUACAGUCCUGCUCUCUCUGUACCUUUAGCUGUUUUCUUAUUUCCCCUGGAUCUAUUCUUCUUUUUUUAUCACUUCACCACUCCAAGAGGUUACCAUUUUUUCAUAAAGAUUUCAUGUUAAAAACAUUUGUCACCAAAUUAAAUUAUAUACGGGCUAAACCUAUCUCUAACCCCAUGAUCAAAUGAGGUUACCUCUGUGAAAGAAUGUCCUAAACUCUAUAAUAAUAUCUCUUGUCAGUUAUGUAGUGGAGGGAUCAGUGUUGUGUAUUAUUGUAGUAAAUUAUAAUGUGUUAUGCGUGUUCUGUUCUUGCACAUUAAUUAUUUCCCUGUUUGUUUAUAUGCAGCUAGCUAGCGGAUGAGUUGGGUGAGACCACCAAACCAUGCGGUACACACAGUAGCCCUAGCUAGCAUACUUCAUUCAAUACGCAGGAGCUAGCCCAUCAUCUAAUAAUCCACAUCUAUUGGUUCCCCUUGCUAGCUAGCCACCACUUCAAAUCAAAUCUAAAAGACUGUAUCACUACAUUAAAUAUGUUCCCUCUCUUUGGUUCAGAGGAGCAAUAGUGUGGUUUGAUUUGAUGCAUGAGUUGUAAUUAAGCUCGGUGCCAAAGUACUCCAACUCUUUGGGUUGGGACCUGAUGUCUCGCAAAUAAGUGAGUAUGGUCAAGGUUAGGUCUAGAGGGCAUAUAUAGGCGUGUAGGGGUGAGACAUUUAUAUACGAGAAACAUAUCCGAAGCCUCUUAACGAAUUAGCUAAAGUAGAGUAAUGAUAUGUUACAUACAUAAUUAUAAAGACACGCGUCCCCUCAGAACCAUGGCCUGGGUCCCACGUGACAUCCCACAGUUAGUUGAACGUGAUGGAGAUCAAUCACACUCAGUUAAAUUUGGGCCGUCUAUGGAUGAACAAAUGAGAUAUCGAGAUGGAUUUGAAGAGAAUUCGCCCAGCAGGUAACUUUGGGUAACUUGGAUCAAUUGUGACCUACGUACUUAGGAUCAAUUAACGAGUGGAAGAUUAAUGAAUAAUAAAG